rnacentral:rRNA from 1 species
AAAUUGAAGAGUUUGAUCAUGGCUCAGAUUGAACGCUGGCGGCAGGCCUAACACAUGCAAGUCGAACGGUAACAGGAAGCAGCUUGCUGCUUCGCUGACGAGUGGCGGACGGGUGAGUAAUGUCUGGGAAACUGCCUGAUGGAGGGGGAUAACUACUGGAAACGGUGGCUAAUACCGCAUAACGUCGCAAGACCAAAGAGGGGGACCUUCGGGCCUCUUGCCAUCAGAUGUGCCCAGAUGGGAUUAGCUUGUUGGUGAGGUAACGGCUCACCAAGGCGACGAUCCCUAGCUGGUCUGAGAGGAUGACCAGCCACACUGGAACUGAGACACGGUCCAGACUCCUACGGGAGGCAGCAGUGGGGAAUAUUGCACAAUGGGCGCAAGCCUGAUGCAGCCAUGCCGCGUGUAUGAAGAAGGCCUUCGGGUUGUAAAGUACUUUCAGCGGGGAGGAAGGUGUUGUGGUUAAUAACCACAGCAAUUGACGUUACCCGCAGAAGAAGCACCGGCUAACUCCGUGCCAGCAGCCGCGGUAAUACGGAGGGUGCAAGCGUUAAUCGGAAUUACUGGGCGUAAAGCGCACGC